UGACAUCACCCUUCAUCCAUCAACUUUCUCCCACAAACAAUCUCACUGCACUGAGAGAUGGCUGUGGAAGGACAAGGACUUUCUGGGAAACUCCCAGGAUAGUGAGUCUAGCUGAGAAAAACUCCAGGCUGAAGCCACCUGGCACUGGUUCUAGGUCAAUGUUGGGGGUUUGUGUCAGGGACAAGGGCCUGCACAGAUCAGGGAGGACUUGCUGGUCAUGCAGGACCUCCAAAAAGCCAAGGCCAGGCAUGGCUUACCUAGGGGAGCCCAGGUUUUUUUUUGGCAUCUCAGAGGGAAUCACCAUUUGCUGCCUCAGCUUAGAUCUGUAUACUGAUCCACUGGGUCAACUCUGGAUUUGACAGGCCCUUCUAAUUAAAGGGCAGGAAGUAAUUAGAACCUCAUCCAGGCCCAUAUCUCCGCAGAUGAGUCCACUUCAGGGAGGGUUGUUCUGAAGAUUUUGCAAGUUGGAGAGACAAGGAUCCUGGGGCCAAACUGGGCCUACUGAGUCUAACCCCUCAUGUCAGAGCUGAGGAAAAAGAGACCCAGAGGUUCUGUGACACCUGGCCCCCCGCCAGGUCUUGGUGAAUGGCGAAGUCAGCACGAAGCUUCAGAUCCUCCCCAGGUGAUCUUCUACAAUUCAGUGCCGCCCAUGAUGACAAAUACGAAAGCUUGUUUAAAAGGUCCAGCUAGAAGGGCCUUUGAGGGGACAGGAAUUCUGGCUCCUUGACAGUUGGCAUAGUCAAAAGGAUGUUUUAAGUCACUGGACACCAGUCACUCCGACGCUGCUGGAGCUGAAAUCUCCUGGGACAUCUGACACACAGCUGGCAGAAGGACAUGAUUGGAAGCCUUAGUUAUAUUACAAAGGCUUUGGCUGGAAUGUCGUAUUUGAGAGAGGUGUGCAUAGACUCAGAUAUGAACAGACAGCCUUAAGGAACUAAGCCUGACUUUAUGGAGCCAAUAAAACCCCUUGGAAAAUAUCAGCCUGGUGCAUUGCUUACAAAGGUCCCAGCAGCCUCACCAGGUGAAUAAAGAAGGUCACUCCCUGGCAGGUGCAGGAAGCUCAGGAUGUUCUGGGGACCUCGAGAAGAGAGGAAUUCACCCAAGUCUGUAAGUAUUGCAGAUUAAGUCAGAUGGCAAGUAUUUGGCUUGACUUCUGGCCUUAAGAGGCUAUUAAAAGUUCAUUCUAGAGAUUCCUUAUGAAAAGUUCCAACAAAGCAGAGUUUUAAAAGCCUAUAUGUGUAAAUAAUCAGGCCACUUUUUUUUUUUUUUUUUGGAAACUAGACUUAUUUUGCAAACAAACUAGUGUUAAUCUGGCUACCGUUGGUAAAAAUGAGGGUGAUUAUAGAGAAAAUAUGUUUCGAUAACACACCUUUGUAAAUAGUAAAUUUUAACACUAUUUAUUACUAGCUGGCCUAAAUCCUGAUUUCUUCUAGUGUUCUCCAGUGCCAGGCUACAACUCUCCAAACUAAUGUUUUUGAAUGUUCUCCCACCUUUCUGACUUGGAAUCAUUUGAGAACUAAAACUUCCCUCUUCCUUGAAGCCCUGCAAACUUAAUAUAAAAUCGCUUGGUGUAAACUUCAGAGAAAUUGCCACCAUGGCUCAUGUCUAGUCAAUCUUUGUACCUACUGCACUGUGGGCCACUCAACAGAUUGCUAGAGACAUGUGAGCUACAAACCAGGAGAAUCUGUCGCAUUGCCACGGCCUGCCUUCACUCUGUCUGAAGAUGCUCGGAGCCUGACAUCUAGAAGUCUUGUCAGCUGGCUGGCUCAGAACUCAGAGACAGGUUUAUAAUCUGAUCUAAUCAUUAACCGCUGCUUUUCUUUUAUUUCCGUAGAAAGGCUUCUUAUCUAAUACCUGAUUACUUGAACCAUAGGCCUAGCUUGGAGAAACGCCACCUUCUGAAACGAGUUCAACUAAGCUGACCUAUUAUCAAGACUCAGGGGAGUGGUUCGGUGAGACGAAACAAUCUACCAGCUCAACUUUUAAUGUGUCAACCAUCAGGAAGUUUCAGGGGACGGAACUGUGAGGGCCAAAGACAGGCUGUCCCAAGAUGGGCCACUUUGGUAUGAAGACUAUUUUGAGCUGAAAGCAGUCGAGACCCUCUAGGUCAAGAGGAAGUCUUUGCUCCUCCCUGAGCUGCAUAGGAGAAUCUAAAUUGGAAAUCUUUCCCAGAAUAACGGUUAUUACCACAGAUACAUUUAUCUGCAUGACCCAUCUGUAGGGCAGGGCAGACAUCUAAGUACCAAACACCUGCUCCUUUUCUUACUGCCCUGUCAACUGCAUUUUUUCCCUUCAAAGUCCCAGACUCCUACCCCUUCUCCUCACCUCAGGAUGGCAUACAGACCUCAUUUGGCCUGACUGUCUGGAAUUUCCAUGUCUGUAUGGAUUCCCUGUAUGUAUGCUAUUAAAUUUGAUUUUCUCCUUUUGAUCCAUCCAUGUCAGUUUGAUUCUUAGUCCAGCUGGAAGGACCUUUGCGAGGACAGGUAUUCUUGCUCCCCGACAUUACUCUGAGGUAAACAUUCUCUCCCAUUUCACCCUUCACAAAAUCUCCAAGGAAAUGUUCCAAACCCCAGGGCCCUGGGGCCUCAGAGAAGGGCCUGCUUCUCCUUGGGUCAUAUAGACGUUCCCAUGACUGCAAGUUGUCUUGCAGAAUUCCACAAACAAAGCCAAUCUCACAUAGUGCUGAUAAAACAGGCAUUUAUCUAAUGGCAUUUUUAGAGCAGAGGUGAAGGGACACAUGCUCACGGUGUCACAAUCUUUGCAGAAAUUGUUGCUGGAAGUCAGGUGGAUACCACACGCGUUUCCUGGCAUUGCUGGCGGCCAUCCUGGCCCUCCUGCUCAGCUGUCCUCAGGGUGAAAUGCCCUCCUCAGAUUCAGAAGGGAGAACCCCUCCCCACUCUGCUGCCUGCCUGUCCCCCAAAGUUGUGUUUGUUGCCCUUGCAGAUCUCUGCUUGGUCUGUGGACCUCAAUGCUUAGAGUCCUUCCACCCAAGCUGCCAGAUGCUGGUUCAGAAGUCCAUUUCCCUCCCCCACCCCCCCCCCACCCUCAACACUCCCCACAGGCCACUGUUACCUUUCUCACUCCCCUCCUCAUCUUCAAAAGCCAGCUGGGCCCACUUCACUAUCAUUGCUGAGACAUCAGCUUAAGAAAUGAAACCCCCGACCCUUCCUUUUCUUCUGAGCCAGCAUUCCAGGCCAGCUGGGAGGGGAAAGGUCAGCCUUUAGUUGCCUUUCUCCUCUGGGACCUGAGAUUUCAUUCAUUUCCCCUUCAUUUCUGGAAUGUUGCUUCCCCAUCUGCUCUUGUGGCAGCACACAGGUUUUACCUGCUCUGCUUCCCAAGCUUUUAUGGAAGUUGUCUCAGCCUUCUCUGGCUCUCCCACUCUCUGGGAAUGUUUUAUAAAGUUGCGGCUGUCACGUUUCUCCCAAUUAUUAAAGCACAAGGACACUAACCUGACAUCCAUUGAAGCCCCAACCCAGUGCUCUCCCGGUCACCACAAAUGACCUCUGUUCCUCCUCUGGCUUUUCUUGAGCCUGGGAGAAAUGAAAUUCCAACUUUCUUUGCUAUUAGCUACUUACAUGCAACAGCCAUACAGAUUCUGCUUCAUGAGAUAAUCCAUAUAUUUUAAGAAAAAGGUAACUCCAAGGACACAGUUAUCUUAGCUCUUAAUUAUUUCACUACUUACAAUAUUUUUUACCAAGAUAUUCAGCUUUUCAAGUAGAGUGCUCCUUCUCUGAAGAAACUUCAAAGUUUGCAGCACCCAUGACUCCUUCCACAAGAGGGCAACAAUUAAGGGUGGACGGCAGAACCUUUUUGGGGGCUGGUUGCUACUCUUCGUUACAAAAUUUUUGUUUGUUCAUUUUCAUUGGAAAAAGGCUUUGCUGAAUGUAAUUCGCCUUUCCAAUAACACAGCUCUUCCUUAUCUCUCUACACUGUGUUUAAAAGCACCUUGUCUAAACUCGUCUUAACUAGGCUGA